rnacentral:rRNA from 1 species
UACGGAGGGGGCUAGCGUUGUUCGGAAUUACUGGGCGUAAAGCGCGCGUAGGCGGAUCUGCAAGUCGGGGGUGAAAUCCCGAGGCUCAACCUCGGAACUGCCUUCGAUACUGCGGGUCUCGAGUCCGGGAGAGGUGAGUGGAAUUCCUAGUGUAGAGGUGAAAUUCGUAGAUAUUAGGAAGAACACCAGUGGCGAAGGCGGCUCACUGGCCCGGUACUGACGCUGAAACACGAAAGCGUGGGUAGCAAACAGG